AGGGGAGAAGCAAGGUUGGGGCCUUGAAGGUACUGCUGAGCAUGUGGGUCCUUAUCCUUACCCUGCAUUGCCCGCAGGCCUGACCUUUGCUUCAUUCUUCAUGGCUGCCAAGUGCAGAUGGUUGGACCAUCCAUCCAGUUCUUUGCUUCCUCUAGCUGAUAUCCUUCUUUGCUGUACUAUAUUGGAAAAGCAAGAAAUAUUUGACACCAAAAAAGAGGAACUAGGGGAGCUUGGAGGAACCAGAGACUCAAUCAGGGAUUCAAGUGAAGUCUCUGUUGCAAACCCUUGAGCAGGUGAGAACCCCUGGACUCUUGCAGGGGCCUCUUCUGCAAACCAUGUCUGUUUAAAAUAUGUGCUUAUUUUGAAAGUGAUGUAGCAACAUUUUCUCUAGUUAAUGUUCUUUCUCACUCAUAAUUUUAAAACAUUUAUUCAUGACAAUAAUAUUAAGUCUGUGACUUUAUUUUUGCUAAAUGUCCAUCUCAGAGAAGAAUAUGACUUUAUAUAGCUAAGUAUUUUUUUAAAAAUAAGCCUUAGUAAUGCAUAUUUGCAAUAAAAAUAUUUGACAAUCCUA
rnacentral:lncRNA from 1 species